rnacentral:rRNA from 1 species
AUUAAUAAGCGGAGGAAAAGAAACCAACUGGGAUUCCCUGAGUAACGGCGAGCGAAAAGGGAACAGUCCAGCGCCGAAUCCCGCACCGGAGACGGUGCCGGGAAAUGUGGCGUUUAGGAGUGAGCGUGCCGGAGGAAGAGCUCUGCAGCAAGUCCCCCUGACCGGGGCUGUUUUCCAAAGCGGGUGCGAGACCCAUAGCUGCUAGGCCUCUUUCGGAUGCGAUCUCCUUGGAGUCGGGUUGCUUGGGAGUGCAGCCCUAAGUGGGUGGUAAACUCCACCUAAGACUAAAUACGACCGUGAGACCGAUAGCGAACAA